rnacentral:rRNA from 1 species
UACGGAGGAUGCGAGCGUUAUCCGGAUUUAUUGGGUUUAAAGGGUUCGCAGGCGGCACGGCAAGCCGGCGGUCAAAUCGCGGGGCUCAACCCCGCCCAGCCGUCGGAACUGCCGGGCUAGAGUGGGCGAGAAGUGCGCGGAAUGCGUGGUGUAGCGGUGAAAUGCAUAGAUAUCACGCAGAACUCCGAUUGCGAAGGCAGCGCACCGGCGCCCUACUGACGCUCAGGCACGAAAGCGUGGGUAUCGAACAGG